AUGAACGCUGGCGGCGUGCCUCAUACCUGCAAGUCGAGCGCACAGACGAGGAGCUUGCUCCUCUGACGUUAGCGGCGGACGGGUGAGUAACACGUGGAUAACCUACCUAUAAGACUGGGAUAACUUCGGGAAACCGGAGCUAAUACCGGAUAAUAUAUUGAACCGCAUGGUUCAAUAGUGAAAGACGGUUUUGCUGUCACUUAUAGAUGGAUCCGCGCCGCAUUAGCUAGUUGGUAAGGUAACGGCUUACCAAGGCGACGAUGCGUAGCCGACCUGAGAGGGUGAUCGGCCACACUGGAACUGAGACACGGUCCAGACUCCUACGGGAGGCAGCAGUAGGGAAUCUUCCGCAAUGGGCGAAAGCCUGACGGAGCAACGCCGCGUGAGUGAUGAAGGUCUUCGGAUCGUAAAACUCUGUUAUUAGGGAAGAACAAAUGUGUAAGUAACUAUGCACGUCUUGACGGUACCUAAUCAGAAAGCCACGGCUAACUACGUG
rnacentral:rRNA from 1 species